UAUGUGAACGUUGGAUGUUAUUACUUGAUUGGCGUUCCACUAGGAGUGCUUCUUGGAUUUAAAUUCAACCUGGGUGCCCAGGGAAUAUGGUCAGGGAUGAUCGGUGGUACGUUUUUGCAAACUAUUAUUUUAUUAUGGGUUACUUUUCGAACAGAUUGGAAUAAAGAGGUACACUACUCUCUCUUUCUAAUUACUUGCAUUGCUAUACUAUUUCUUUUUUUUUUUUAAUUUAAUGUAACCUUAAUAGAUUAUAAAAUAUCAAUCAGACUACUUAACUCCCUUAAUUCUAAUGCUCAUAAUAAUUACACCAAGCUUAGUGAGGCUAAAUUGGGUUAACUCAUAAAUCCACAGUGAAUUAAAUUUGGAUAAGUAGAUAUAAUUUUCUUUGGAGUGUAGCCCAUCCAAUCCAACUAAUUCAUUACACUUGUGCACAAUGACUAUGCAACCUCUGACAUAUCUGUUUGAAAGGUCCUUACUUUCUUAGACAACUCGCCAUGGAUAUUGUUGCAACCACCACAACUUUUUUGGCGUUUUCUUGUUUUGGGCAUCUCAAUUAUUUCUUUCUUAACGAUAAACUCUCAUAAAAUUAAAGAAUGCAAGGGGAUGAAUUCAUCGUUUUGGUUUGUAAAUUUUCAGGUGGAGAAUGCAAAGGAUCGGUUGACCAUAUGGGAAGAAACGAAAGAGCCUCUCUUGGAGGAUAAUAAAAGAGAUGGCUCGGAGAAUUGAAGUGGAUUUGGUUUUAUCGUCCUUUUGUAGUAUAAAUUUGAUAUCUUUACAACUCUAUUAAGAGAUUUUUGGUUUGAAUUUCACUGUAUGAUAAACAAAGGGUUGUGAGUGGCUGAAGUUGUCUUUGGGUAAUUGCAUGGAAU
rnacentral:misc_RNA from 1 species